UGGGGAAUAUUGCACAAUGGGCGCAAGCCUGAUGCAGCCAUGCCGCGUGUGUGAAGAAGGCCUUCGGGUUGUAAAGCACUUUCAGCGGGGAGGAAGGCGAUAAGGUUAAUGACCUUGUCGAUUGACGUUACCCGCAGAAGAAGCACCGGCUAACUCCGUGCCAGCAGCCGCGGUAAUACGGAGGGUGCAAGCGUUAAUCGGAAUUACUGGGCGUAAAGCGCACGCAGGCGGUCUGUCAAGUCGGAUGUGAAAUCCCCGGGCUCAACCUGGGAACUGCAUUCGAAACUGGCAGGCUAGAGUCUUGUAGAGGGGGGUAGAAUUCCAGGUGUAGCGGUGAAAUGCGUAGAGAUCUGGAGGAAUACCGGUGGCGAAGGCGGCCCCCUGGACAAAGACUGACGCUCAGGUGCGAAAGCGUGGGGAGCAAACAGG
rnacentral:rRNA from 1 species